CUGCUUAGAGUAAAGUCUGAAUAAUAAUGUUUUUUAAAUUACUGUGGUUUUUUGUUGGAUGUUGAAAGAACCCCAACUUAACUGUCAUUAUAUGUAGCAUCAUUUUUUUCCUUUUACAUUGCACAUACAGUAGACAUUGAGUUACAAUCUCUGUAUAUCUGAGCUUCUAAUGUGAUGUGCUCAGGUGUCAGUACUUACAUGAAAACAUCUUCGUUUUUCUCUCCUGCCUUAGUUUUGUUUUAAGUUAAAAUUAAGUCUCAGCUCUUUCAAAAUCCAACAACAAAAGCACAGUAACUUAAGAAAAUAAAUGUUAUUUUGCAAAACAGAACAAUAUCCCUGUUUAAUGACUGCUGGGACUGAUGCUCCUCAGUCUCUGUGUUUGUGAGGAUUCACACUCUGAGGCUUUCCUUAGAAAUAGCAAAUCUAACAUGAACUGCACAUCAUCUUGAAUUGGAAAUCUUAAAAGCAGAAGGACAUCCAGUUGUGUCUUAGAAUUUGGGUACACUGGAAUCUGUUCAGCCACAUGGAAGGCUGGUUACCACCGGGCAUC